rnacentral:rRNA from 1 species
UACGGAGGAUGCGAGCGUUAUCCGGAUUUAUUGGGUUUAAAGGGUGCGUAGGCGGAUUAAUAAGUCAGUGGUGAAAUCCUGCAGCUUAACUGUGGAACUGCCAUUGAUACUGUUAGUCUUGAGUAUGGUCAAGGUAGGCGGAAUGUGUAAUGUAGCGGUGAAAUGCUUAGAUAUUACACAGAACACCGAUUGCGAAGGCAGCUUACUAGGCCAUUACUGACGCUGAUGCACGAAAGCGUGGGGAUCGAACAGGAUUA